rnacentral:lncRNA from 1 species
GCAGAUCCUAUAGGCAUGAUCUAAAAGGCCAUGUUUGGAAUUAAAAUAGACUAUAUAGGCGUGAUAUGUACCCAAUUUACCCACAACAUACAACUACCCACCUUUUUCACUAAUCACCCCAUAACUGUUUACAAAUUAUUACGGCCCAAAAUGAUUGAAUUGCAAAAGAAGUGCAGAAAUGAGAAAUUACAACCAAAGGAAGUCUGAUCUUGACUUCCUCUAUAAGUUAUGUAAUGAACCACUUCAAUGCCAUAAUAUACAAGCCUUUCUCAUACCAUGGUGUGUCAAAGUUCUCUAAGGACCUCAUGAUAUCCCGGACAGUGCUCACACCCAAGUUUGCCUAACAGACAUAAAUAAGUGCAGUGUGGAAGAGCCAGCCCUUAUGUGUCCAAGUUCAGAGGGAAAUCAAGGGUCCUAAGUCAAGGCUCACUCAAGAGGGGCAAAACAUAGAUUCUAAGAAUAUAGUGGAAGUGUAGAACAUAGUUGAAAUAAGAGUUUGUUUAAAACUGGACUGGCAAUUCCAUUUUUGAAGGUAAUCAGUAGCAGAAGUGUUUGAAAUCGGUUGGGGUAAUGAACAAAAAACUCAAAGACACAAAAACAGUAGUCACAUAAAGGGAUCAGGGGGUUAUGGGAAUACAUUGUCUGUAAGCACAUGACCCAAGUCGGGGUCAAGUUUGGUCAUGGACAGCAAUAGCUAAUGUUGGCAUGAUCACAAACCAACCAGAGUAACAUAAAUACAUUGGGUGAUAUAGGGUUUGGGAUUCAUAAGUCAGCAAAUACAUAAAAAGUGACUGACAGAGUACACACAUAGGGAAGCAUUAAUUGAAAAGGGGGAGGAAACAUGUUGCAGCAUGCUAGUAAUGUAACUUGAAUGCAGAAAAUAUAAGCAUAAGUAGACAAGAAUGAGAUAAAUUGGAACAAUUAGAGAAAUAUGUUAUUGUUGAGGCUUAAAAAUUAACUAGGACAUACAAGUAGAGAAGCACAGUGUAGAAAGAUAAAGCAAGCAACAUUCCACGGUCUAGCCUUGGCUUUCCGCCGGCUAGGCAAAGCAAUAGCACAAGUAAUAGUAGAGAAAGAGAGAGUUUUUGAGUGUGAGUGUAUGUUCUGAACUCAAAUUGAUCGUGUCUUUGAAAGAAAAGAGGGUGGGUAUUUAUAUUAAAAACGAGGGAAGAAUAAGGUAACAAGUAAAGUCUUAACCCAAACAUGGAAAUAAUCACAAUCAAAAUCAACUAACACAAGUGAUUUUCCUUUAAUUAAGGAAGCACUGCUUAACAGAUACUAACAGGUUUAAUUAAGGAAAAAAAUCAGCUUGAGACGGAUUGAUUAUUUCCAUAUAAAGGGAAGUAAAAGCAUAAAAUAAAUAAUCAAGCCUAAGUACAAAAUAUGCUUAGUUUUGGGAAGCAUAAAGUAAAUAAUCAAGCCUAAGUACAAAAUAUGCUUAGUUUUGGGAAAGGAUUUAGUAAGGAAAAACACCACAGUGAUUAAAGGAGGGAAAUAAAUUAAUUUAUAUGAACGAAUACAAUUAGGGUUCAUAAGAAAACCUUUUACAAUCAGUCGCAACAUUGAGAGAGUCAGAAUCAAUCAAGAAAGGGUCAAGAUUCUGCACCUCAACAUAUAAAUCACAAGAAAUGAACAGCCAUGCAGAGUCAAACAUGUUGACAAAAAAGAAGCAACACAAACAUACAGUAGCAACAGGGUAAGCUAUAUUCAGUAGUAAAAGAGAUCUACUCGAAGCACAGUAGGGAAUAAGGUCAAGUAGUCACAUAGAAUCGAAAGUGAAGAAAAUAUAGUAACAGGUAAAGAGAGUCAGAAACAAGUAAAUAUCUCACAGUAGUCACGUUUAAGAGAUGAUAAGAAUUCAAAUUAGAUAAGUCAAAGAAGGAAAAGAGAGUCAGAAACAAAGAAUUUAAUCAAACAAGUACAUAUUUAAACAAACAGUUUCAGAACUCGGAUAACACCAAAAAGGAACUAGGAUUUUUAACAUGCUGAAUCAAGUAAAAGGAAAGCAUAAACAGGUCAUUUGAACAUAGUAAAAUCAUAAAAAAAACAUUAAAAUUUGAAGGAGAGAGCUUUUAAAAAAAAAAGUUUUAAGAAAACCUAAUCAUUGAAAAAUGAAGAGUCAUUUUGAAAGAAAGUCGAAGAACCUUCAAGAAAAAACUUAAGAAGUUUGUAGUAAGCACAAAUCUAAGAUAGAUCUGAAAGAAAAAUAAAAGGACCUUAAAGCUAGUGUUUUAGAGAACCCAGAAAAGGUGAGAGAGACCUUGAAAGUUACCCAUCUAUUCGGAAAGGUCAAGGACCUUCCUUGAACGGACAUGGAUGACCAGAGAAAGGCCAGAGAUAUAGGUUGAGCAAGGACUGGACCAGAUCUUAGGCCAUGAAAUCACGGAAACAAACACCAAGGGCUAUAUGUGGCCGCUACACAUCUCAAAUGGCCAUGAGAGGCCAUGGAUUAGGCAGGGAUUGAGGUGGAUUAGGGUGGAAUUAGAUGAUGGCGACUAGGGUUCAUGUAAGGUUGCAGAGAGAGUUGAGAGGGAAGGGAUUCAGAGGCGGUGCG